rnacentral:rRNA from 1 species
UGAGGAACAUGACCUUCGGCGGGGGAUAGCCGGCCCAACGGCCGGGUAAUACCGCGUACGACCGUCUAGGGACAUCCCUGGAUGGUGAAAGCAGCAAUGCGCCGAUGGAGUGCCUCGCGGCCUAUCAGCUAGUUGGUGAGGUAACGGCUCACCAAGGCGACGACGGGUAGCUGGUCUGAGAGGAUGGCCAGCCACAUUGGGACUGAGGCACGGCCCAGCUCCGUAGGGAGG